UUGACCUCAAAUCGGGUGAGACUACCCGCUGAACUUAAGCAUAUCAAUAAGCGGAGGAAAAGAAACUAACAAGGAUUCCCCUAGUAACUGCGAGUGAAGCGGGAAAAGCUCAAAUUUAAAAUCUGGUGGCCUUUGGUCACUCGAGUUGUAAUUUAGAGAAGCGUCUUCCGCGCUGGACCGUGCACAAGUCUCCUGGAAUGGAGCGUCAUAGAGGGUGAGAAUCCCGUCUUUGGCACGGAUGCCAGGGCUUUUGUGAUGCGCUCUCAAAGAGUCGAGUUGUUUGGGAAUGCAGCUCAAAAUGGGUGGUGAACUCCAUCUAAAGCUAAAUAUUGGCGAGAGACCGAUAGCGAACAAGUACCGUGAGGGAAAGAUGAAAAGCACUUUGGAAAGAGAGUGAAACAGUACGUGAAAUUGUUGAAAGGGAAACGCUUGAAGUCAGUCGCGUUGACCGAGACUCAGCCUUGCCUCGGCUUGGUGUACUUCUCGGCUAACGGGCCAGCAUCAAUUUUGCCCCUCGGAUAAUGGCAAGGGAAAGGUAGCACCUUUUAGGUGUGUUAUAGUCUCUUGUCGCAUACGAGGGUUGGGAUUGAGGAACUCUGCACGCUACGUGCUUAGGAUGCUGGCGUAAUGGCUUUAAACGACCCGUCUUGAAACACGGACCAAGGAGUCUAACGUGCCCGCGAGUGUUUGGGUGGAAAACCCAUGCGCGAAAUGAAAGUGAAAGUUGGGACCCCUGUCGUGGGGGGCACCGACGCCCGGACCAGACCUUCUGUGACGGAUCUGCGGUAGAGCGUGCAUGUUGGGACCCGAAAGAUGGUGAACUAUGCCUGAAUAGGGUGAAGCCAGAGGAAACUCUGGUGGAGGCUCGUAGCGAUUCUGACGUGCAAAUCGAUCGUCAAAUUUGGGUAUAGGGGCGAAAGACUAAUCGAACCAUCUAGUAGCUGGUUCCUGC
rnacentral:rRNA from 1 species